GUCGGCGUGCUUAACACAUGCAAGUCGAACGGAAAGGCCCUGCUUUUGUGGGGUGCUCGAGUGGCGAACGGGUGAGUAACACGUGAGUAACCUGCCCUUGACUUUGGGAUAACUUCAGGAAACUGGGGCUAAUACCGGAUAGGAGCUCCUGCUGCAUGGUGGGGGUUGGAAAGUUUCGGCGGUUGGGGAUGGACUCGCGGCUUAUCAGCUUGUUGGUGGGGUAGUGGCUUACCAAGGCUUUGACGGGUAGCCGGCCUGAGAGGGUGACCGGCCACAUUGGGACUGAGAUACGGCCCAGACUCCUACGGGAGGCAGCAGUGGGGAAUAUUGCACAAUGGGCGGAAGCCUGAUGCAGCAACGCCGCGUGCGGGAUGACGGCCUUCGGGUUGUAAACCGCUUUCGCCUGUGACGAAGCGUGAGUGACGGUAAUGGGUAAAGAAGCACCGGCUAACUACGUGCCAGCAGCCGCGGUGAUACGUAGGGUGCGAGCGUUGUCCGGAUUUAUUGGGCGUAAAGGGCUCGUAGGUGGUUGAUCGCGUCGGAAGUGUAAUCUUGGGGCUUAACCCUGAGCGUGCUUUCGAUACGGGUUGACUUGAGGAAGGUAGGGGAGAAUGGAAUUCCUGGUGGAGCGGUGGAAUGCGCAGAUAUCAGGAGGAACACCAGUGGCGAAGGCGGUUCUCUGGGCCUUUCCUGACGCUGAGGAGCGAAAGCGUGGGGAGCGAACAGGCUUAGAUACCCUGGUAGUCCACGCUGUAAACGGUGGGUACUAGGUGUGGGGUCCAUUCCACGGGUUCCGUGCCGUAGCUAACGCUUUAAGUACCCCGCCUGGGGAGUACGGCCGCAAGGCUAAAACUCAAAGGAAUUGACGGGGCCCCGCACAAGCGGCGGAGCAUGCGGAUUAAUUCGAUGCAACGCGUAGAACCUUACCUGGGUUUGACAUGGAUCGGGAGUGCUCAGAGAUGGGUGUGCCUCUUUUGGGGUCGGUUCACAGGUGGUGCAUGGCUGUCGUCAGCUCGUGUCGUGAGAUGUUGGGUUAAGUCCCGCAACGAGCGCAACCCUUGUUCACUGUUGCCAGCACGUUAUGGUGGGGACUCAGUGGAGACCGCCGGGGUCAACUCGGAGGAAGGUGGGGAUGACGUCAAGUCAUCAUGCCCCUUAUGUCCAGGGCUUCACGCAUGCUACAAUGGCUGGUACAGAGAGUGGCGAGCCUGUGAGGGUGAGCGAAUCUCGGAAAGCCGGUCUCAGUUCGGAUUGGGGUCUGCAACUCGACCUCAUGAAGUCGGAGUCGCUAGUAAUCGCAGAUCAGCAACGCUGCGGUGAAUACGUUCCCGGGGCUUGUACACACCGCCCGUCAAGUCAUGAAAGUUGGUAACACCCGAAGCCGGUGGCCUAACCGUUGUGGGGGAGCCGUCGAAGGUGGGACUGGUGAUU
rnacentral:rRNA from 1 species